rnacentral:rRNA from 1 species
GUACAGAGGGUGCAAGCGUUAAUCGGAUUUACUGGGCGUAAAGCGCGCGUAGGUGGCUAAUUAAGUCAAAUGUGAAAUCCCCGAGCUUAACUUGGGAAUUGCAUUCGAUACUGGUUAGCUAGAGUAUGGGAGAGGAUGGUAGAAUUCCAGGUGUAGCGGUGAAAUGCGUAGAGAUCUGGAGGAAUACCGAUGGCGAAGGCAGCCAUCUGGCCUAAUACUGACACUGAGGUGCGAAAGCAUGGGGAGCAAACAGGAUUAGAUACCCUGGUAGUCCAUGCCGUAAACGAUGUCUACUAGCCGUUGGGGCCCUUGAGGCUUUAGUGGCGCAGCUAACGCGAUAAGUAGACCGCCUGGGGAGUACGGUCGCAAGACUAAAACUCAAAUGAAUUGACGGGG